GAUGAACGCUAGCGGCAGGCCUAACACAUGCAAGUCGAGGGAGGAGCUUUCGGGCUUCGACCGGCGUACGGGUGCGUAACGCGUAUACAAUCUGCCUUUCACAUAGGGAUAGCCCGAAGAAAUUUGGAUUAAUACCUAAUGGUAUAUAGGAGUGGCAUCACAUUUAUAUUAAAGCUGAGGCGGUGAAAGAUGAGUAUGCGUUCUAUUAGCUAGUUGGAGAGGUAACGGCUCACCAAGGCGACGAUAGAUAGGGGUUCUGAGAGGGAUAUCCCCCACACUGGUACUGAGAUACGGACCAGACUCCUACGGGAGGCAGCAGUGAGGAAUAUUGGACAAUGGUCGGAAGACUGAUCCAGCCAUGCCGCGUGCAGGAAGACGGCCUUAUGGGUUGUAAACUGCUUUUGCAGGGGAAGAAUAAGGACUACGAGUAGUUUGAUGACGGCACUCUGCGAAUAAGCAUCGGCUAACUCCGUG
rnacentral:rRNA from 1 species